CCUACGGGUGGCAGCAGUGAGGAAUAUUGGUCAAUGGACGAGAGUCUGAACCAGCAAAGUAGCGUGAAGGAUGACUGCCCUAUGGGUUGUAAACUUCUUUUAUAAAGGAAUAUAACGAGGCACGUGUGCCUUUUUGCAUGUACUUUAUGAAUAAGGAUCGGCUAACUCCGUGCCAGCAGCCGCGGUAAUACGGAGGAUCCGAGCGUUAUCCGGAUUUAUUGGGUUUAAAGGGAGCGUAGAUGGGUUGUUAAGUCAUUUGUGAAAGUUUGCGGCUCAACCGUAAAAUUGCAAUUGAUACUGGUAGUCUUGAGUACAGGUGAGGUAGGCGGAAUUCGUGGUGUAGCGGUGAAAUGCUUAGAUAUCAGGAAGAACCCCGAUUGCGAAGGCAGCUUACUAAACUGUGACUGACAUUGAGGCGCGAAAGUGUGGGUAUCAAACAGGAUUAGAUACCCUAGUAGUC
rnacentral:rRNA from 1 species